rnacentral:lncRNA from 1 species
UAUUAUAUACUACAUAAUGAUUUAAUAUUUUUAUAGAUUAUACUCCAUUUAAAGGUUUUAUAAAAUAUUGGCUAUAUUCCCUGAGCUGCACAAUAUAUAUACUUGUUACUUAUUUAAUACAUAGUAGUUUGUACCUCUAAAUCCCCUAUCCUAUCUUGCCCGUCCCUCCCCCCCGCCACUAGUAACCACUAGUUUGUUCUCUUUGUGAGUCUGCUUCUGUUUUUUUAUACUAAUUCAUUGGCUUUACUUUUCAGAUUCUACAUAUAAAUGAUAACAAAGUAUUUGUCUUUCUCCCUUCUGGCUUAUUUCAGUAAGCAUAACACCCUCUAGGUACAUCCAUGUUGUUGCAAAUAGGAGAAUUUCUUUUUUUGUGGCUGAGUAAUAUUCCAUUGUGCAAAUAUAUCACAUCUUUUUUAUCCAUUCAUCUAUUGAUGGAUACUUAGGUUGCUUCCAUAUCUUGGACAUUGUAAAUAAUCCUGCUAUGAACACUGGGGUUCAAAUAUCUUUCUGAAUUAGUUUUCUCAUUUUCUUAUACCCAUGAGUGAAAAUACUGUAUCAUAUGGUAGUUCUAUUGUUUUUUUGAGGAACUUCCAUAUUAUUUUUCAUAUUGGCUGCACCAAUUUACAUUCCCACCAACAGAGUUCCCUUUCCUACACAUCCUUGCCAAAAUUUGUUAUCAGUUGUCUUUUUGACAAUAGCCAUUCUGACAGGUGUAAGGUGUACCACAUUGUGAUUUUUAUUUGCAUUUGCCUCAUGAUUAAUGAUGUUGAGCAUCCUUUCAUAUGCCUGUUGGUCAUCUGUAUAUCUUCUUUAGAAAAAUGUUUAUUCAUGUCUUCCACACAUUUUUAAUCAGGUUGUUUUAAUCUGGAUUUUAAUAGGGUUGUUUUAAUCAGGUUUUUUUAUAUUGAGUUGUAUGAGCUGUUUAUAUAUAUUUUGGAUAUUAACCUGUUGUCAGCUACAUCAUUUCCAAAUAUUUUCUCCAAUUUAAGUUCUUUUUUCCCUCUGUUAAUGCUUUCCUCCACUAUACAAGUUUAAUUUGGUCCCAUUUGUUUAUCUUUCCUUUUGUUUCCCUUGCUUGAGGAGAUAGAUAAAAAAAAUAUAGAUAUAUUGCUAAGAUUUAACAUUUAAGAAUGUACUGCGUAUGUUUCCUUCUAGGAGUUUUAUGUUUUCCAGUCUAACAUUUAGGUCUUUACAUUCCAGUCUUACAUUUAGGUCCUUAAUCCAUUUUUAGUUUAUUUUUGUAUACAGUGUGAAAAGAAAUGUUCUAUUUCCUUCUUUUACAUGGAGCUCUCCAGUUUCGCCAGCACCACCUAUUGAAGAAACUAUCCUUUCCCCAUUGUAUAUUUUCACCUACUUCAUUGUAGAUUAAAGUACAAAACCAGACAGCUUUACACCAAGCAUAUAAAGAAAACUUAAGACCUCUCUUUCUCAAAUUAUUCCAAAAUACUGAAGAGGAGGAAUCACUCCUAAAUUCACUCCAGGAGGCCACCACUAUCCUGAUACCAAAACCAGAAAAAGACAUUACAAAAAAGAAAAUUCAAGCCAGUAUCUCUGAUGAAUAUAGAUGUUAAAAUCCUCAACAAAAUAUUAGUAAACCAAAUUCAACAAUAUAUGAAAAGGAUCAUACAUCAUGAUCAAGUGGUACUUAUUCCAGAGAUGCAAGGAUGAUUCAAUAUCCACAAAUCAACCAAUGCGAUAUACAACAUUAACAAGACAAAGGAUAACAAGAACACAGUUAUGUCAAUAGAUACCAAAAAAGCAUCUAACAAAGUUUAACAUCCAUUCAUGGUAAAAACUCUCAACAGAGUUGAUAUAGAGGAAACAUGUCUCAACAAAAAAAAGCCAUUUAUGAAAACUCCACAGCUAACAUCACAUUCAUUGGUGAAAAGCUGAAAGAGCCUCUAAAAUCCAAAAUAAGACUAACAAGCCCACUCUUGCCACUUCUAUUUAACAUAGUAUUGGAAGUCCUAGCCACAACAAAUAAUAGAAGAAAUAAAAGGCAUCCAAAUUGGAAGGGAAAAAGUAAAACUGUUGCUAUAUGCAGAUGACAUGAUACAGAAAACCCUAAAAUUCCCAUCAAAAAAAAAUUAGAACUAAUAAUUGAAGUUAAUUUGCAGGAUAAGAGAUUAAUAUUCAGGAAUCUCUUGCUAUUACAUAAACUAAUAAUAAACUAUCAGAAAAAGAAAGCAAGAAAAUGAACCUGUUUAAAAUUGCAUUGGAGUUCUCACUGAGGCUCAGUGGGUAACAAAUCUGGCUAGGAAACAAGAGGUUGCAGGUUCAAUCCCUAUCCUCCCUCAGUAGGUUAAGGAUCCAUCAUUGCCAUGAGUUGUGGGGUAGGUUGCAGACACUGCUAGGAUCCUGCAUUGCUAUACCUGUGGUGUAGGCAGACUCCUCCCAUCAGGAAGCCUACAGCAAGCCCGCAUACCAACUUCAGCCACAAGGGGGGCAGACAUCAGAAGUAAGAGAGGGUACAACUCUAUUAUCUGUAAAAAGGUCACCACGCCAAAAACCUAUAAAAAUGAAAAGACAGAGAACUAUAACU